GUACACUCCUGCGGGAGGCAGCAGUGGGGAAUUUUGGACAAUGGGCGAAAGCCUGAUCCAGCAAUGCCGCGUGAGUGAAGAAGGCCUUCGGGUUGUACAGCUCUUUUGUCAGGGAAGAAACGGUGAGAGCUAAUAUCUUUUGCUAAUGACGGUACCUGAAGAAUAAGCACCGGAUAACUACGUGCCAGCAGCCGCGGUAAUACGUAGGGUGCAAGCGUUAAUCGGAAUUACUGGGCGUAAAGCGUGCGCAGGCGGUUUUGUAAGUCUGAUGUGAAAUCCCCGGGCUCAACCUGGGAAUUGCAUUGGAGACUGCAAGGCUAGAAUCUGGCAGAGGGGGUUAGAAUUCCACGUGUAGCAGUGAAAUGCGUGGAUAUGUGGAGGAACACCGAUGGCGAAGGCAGCCCCCUGGGUCAAGAUUGACGCUCAUGCACGAAAGCGUGGGGAGCAAACAGGAUUAGAAACCCCAGUAGUCC
rnacentral:rRNA from 1 species